GAAAGAAUUUCGGUAGGGGAUGGGCAUGCGGCGCAUUAGGUAGUUGGCGGGGUAACGGCCCACCAAGCCGACGAUGCGUAGGGGUUCUGAGAGGAAGGUCCCCCACACUGGUACUGAGACACGGACCAGACUCCUACGGGAGGCAGCAGUGAGGAAUAUUGGUCAAUGGGCGAUAGCCUGAACCAGCCAAGUCGCGUGAGGGAAGACGGCCCUAUGGGUUGUAAACCUCUUUUGUCGGGGAGCAAGGUCGCUACGUGUAGCGAUUUGAGAGUACCCGAAGAAAAAGCAUCGGCUAACUCCGUGCCAGCAGCCGCGGUAAUACGGAGGAUGCGAGCGUUAUCCGGAUUUAUUGGGUUUAAAGGGUGCGUAGGCGGGAGAUCAAGUCAGCGGUAAAAAUGCGGGGCCCAACCCCGUCGAGCCGUUGAAACUGGUUUUCUUGAGUGGGCGAGAGGUAUGCGGAAUGCGUGGUGUAGCGGUGAAAUGCAUAGAUAUCACGCAGAACCCCGAUUGCGAAGGCAGCAUACCGGCGCCCAACUGACGCUGAGGCACGAAAGCGUGGGUAUCGAACAGGAUUAGAUGCCCUGGUAGUCCACGCAGUAAACGAUGAACACUACCUGUUCGGCCUGACUGAAGGCUGA
rnacentral:rRNA from 1 species